AGUUUGAUCCUGGCUCAGAACGAACGCUGGCGGCAUGCCUAACACAUGCAAGUCGAACGAGACCUUCGGGUCUAGUGGCGCACGGGUGCGUAACGCGUGGGAAUCUGCCCUUGGGUUCGGAAUAACAGUUAGAAAUGACUGCUAAUACCGAAUGAUGUCUUCGGACCAAAGAUUUAUCGCCCAAGGAUGAGCCCGCGUCGGAUUAGCUGGUUGGUGAGGUAAAGGCUCACCAAGGCGACGAUCCGUAGCUGGUCUGAGAGGAUGAUCAGCCACACUGGGACUGAGACACGGCCCAGACUCCUACGGGAGGCAGCAGUGGGGAAUAUUGGACAAUGGGCGAAAGCCUGAUCCAGCAAUGCCGCGUGAGUGAUGAAGGCCUUAGGGUUGUAAAGCUCUUUUACCCGGGAUGAUAAUGACAGUACCGGGAGAAUAAGCCCCGGCUAACUCCGUG
rnacentral:rRNA from 1 species